CUGACAUCAGAGUUCAAAGGUCAGACUGACAUGAGAGACACAUGUAAGGGGCAAUGAGAAGCUGAAGAAGUGAGCAAAUAAAUCAAGAAAGUGAAGAGUGGAAAGCAUCAUGGUUGCGAUCUCAGAGUUUCAGAAGAUUGGUGUGGGUUUGUCAGGCUUCGGCAUUUUCUUCCUUGUGUUUGGAGUGUUGCUGUACUUUGACUCUGUCUUGUUGGCAUUUGGUAACAUCUUGUUCCUAACUGGUCUGGCCUUCAUCAUUGGCCUGAGGAGAACGGCUCACUUCUUUUUCCAGAGGCAAAAGCUUAGAGCCUCCUCCUUUUUCCUGGGUGGUGUGGCUUUAGUGGUGCUCCGAUGGCCACGCAUAGGCAUGCUCGUGGAGAGUUAUGGCUUUGUGCUUCUGUUUAAGAAUCCUAUCACGAAGCCCCUGAAGAUAAAUAGAAAUGACAGCACUAUCAGCAUGGUGUGCUGGCUCUGACAAUUCCUCAGCCUCAGCUACAUCACUCGAGUUCAUAAUUGCUGUCAACUAGACAUGUGCGCAGGACUUUUUAAUUAAUCCCACUCACUCUGUUAUUAUUUUUGUUUGUACCUGCCUAUGAUAUUUUCUAAUAAAUUUAGUUAGGUUGUUAUUACCAAAAUAUAACCAAAUGAGUAAUUUAAGCCUAAUCUAAACACAACCCUGACCAGGCAUGAAUGUUGAAUGAUACUAAGGAUGAAUCAGUGAAUGCUGUAUGUGGUCUUUGUUUGUCAAGUGAAGUCCUGCGAGUUUAUAUCUAACCGUUCACGUGCGCUCACAUGAAAGUGAAAACCUCCCCAGCCCAUGUAGCACGUUUUGUUGUGUUUCAUGGGAUCCCAGUCCCAGUACAAACUCUAGUCUCAAUCACAUGCUCUGUGAACCUUUCUGACAAACUUUCUAAUGAAAUAAAUUAAAAACGUAUCUGCAUUUGUAUCCAUUUAGAACACAUUCAGUUGCAUGCCUAGUCUAUAACAGCAGAGUAAACUGUUUUUUUUUUUACCCCAGUUAACUCUUUUUAGUAACCAUCUAUAAUCAUCAAUUAUAUGAUGUCAGCAAACGUUGUCAUGCUGAUGUCAGCUGACAUUUAUCAAUUUUGCUAAAGACAUGCCACCCGUACUCCCUUAUUGUAAAGAUAUAGACAGUUAUGAAUAAUAUUCUGUCAUUUUCCAGGUCGUUCUUCCCAAUGGCUUUUGGAUUUCUUGGAACAGUUUUGAAUAUGCCAUUCCUCACUACACUAUUUAAUUACUCAGGAAGCAGCUCCUCUAUGGUGUAAGAGUUCUCACGAAGAUGACGGCACAGUGAAGCACGUGAAUACCAAGAUACAAGUGUAGAUCAAGUACUGUGGUGUGUGAUGGAUUUUGGGGAACAGAAGACUAUAAAACAUAUCCAUGAAGCACACCAUGAACUCACUGAUCAGCCAAGUGUGAACUGCAUGUUGCUGUUUUUUUUGUCUGUAUGGAAUGUAUACUAUUUUAAGAAUAUUUUAAUUUGUGUAUUAUUUUGAAUAAACCCAGUGUUACUUUUAAA